AGCGAACGCUAGCGGGUGGCUUAACACAUGCAAGUCGAGCGGGGUCUUCGGGCCCAGCGGCGAACGGGUGAGUAACACGUAGGAUAUCUGUCUUUUGGUGGGGCAUAGCCGGGGGAAACCCCGAUUAAUACCGCAUAUGGCCUAUGGGUCAAAGCCUUCGGGCGCCAAGAGAGGAGCCUGCGGCCCAUUAUUUAAUCCUAGUUGGUGGGGUAAUGGCCUACCAAGGGUACGAUGGGUAGCUGGUCUGAGAGGACGAUCAGCCACACUGGAACUGAGACACGGUCCAGACUCCUACGGGAGGCAGCAGUGGGGAAUAUUGCGCAAUGGGCGGAAGCCUGACGCAGCCAACCCGCGUGUGUGAUGAAGGCC
rnacentral:rRNA from 1 species